GUAGGUGAACCUGCGGAAGGAUCAAUAUGGAGGAGAGUGAAGGGGGAUAAGUUGAAAGAAAAAUUACUUUAUAUUCAAUCUACAACACACACACACACAACUCAUAACAACGGAUCUCUUGGUUCUG
rnacentral:misc_RNA from 1 species